CAGUCGCCGCGGGAACACGUAGGGUGCAAGCGUUAAUCGGAAUUACUGGGCGUAAAGCGUGCGCAGGCGGUUUGUUAAGACAGAUGUGAAAUCCCCGGGCUCAACCUGGGAACUGCAUUUGUGACUGGCAAGCUAGAGUGUGGCAGAGGGGGGUGGAAUUCCGCGUGUAGCAGUGAAAUGCGUAGAUACGCGGAGGAACACCGAUGGCGAAGGCAGCCCCCUGGGCCAACAUUGACGCUCAUGCACGAAAGCGUGGGGAGCAAACAGGAUUAGAUACCCCUGUAGUCCCUGUCUCUUAUAC
rnacentral:rRNA from 1 species